rnacentral:rRNA from 1 species
AUGAAGGCCUUAGGGUCGUAAAGCUCUUUCGCCAGGGAUGAUAAUGACAGUACCUGGUAAAGAAACCCCGGCUAACUCCGUGCCAGCAGCCGCGGUAAUACGGAGGGGGUUAGCGUUGUUCGGAAUUACUGGGCGUAAAGCGCGCGUAGGCGGAUUGGAAAGUUGGGGGUGAAAUCCCGGGGCUCAACCCCGGAACUGCCUCCAAAACUACCAGUCUUGAGUUCGAGAGAGGUGAGUGGAAUUCCGAGUGUAGAGGUGAAAUUCGUAGAUAUUCGGAGGAACACCAGUGGCGAAGGCGGCUCACUGGCUCGAUACUGACGCUGAGGUGCGAAAGUGUGGGGAGCAAACAGGAUUAGAUACCCUGGUAGUCCACACCGUAAACGAUGAAUGCCAGUCGUCGGGUAGCAUGCUGUUCGGUGACACACCUAACGGAUUAAGCAUUCCGCCUGGGGAGUACGGUCGCAAGAUUAAAACUCAGAG